CUGUGAAGGUCAGUUGAGAAGCUGGCUGGAGGUAUCAGAAGUGCGAAUGCUGACAUGAGUAACGACAAUGCGAGUGAAAAACUCGCACGCCGAAAGACCAAGGGUUCCUGCGCAACGUUAAUCGACGCAGGGUGAGUCGGUCCCUAAGGCGAGGCUGAAGAGCGUAGUCGAUGGGAAACGGGUUAAUAUUCCCGUACUUCUAGUUACUG
rnacentral:rRNA from 1 species